rnacentral:lncRNA from 1 species
CCCGGCCCUCCCGUCACAGGCAUGGUGACCCCGGUCCAGCUUUCCAACCCCAAUCUCAGCUACCACUCAGACGACACCCGCCGGCUGAGCGCAGACCUGCGCCUUAGGUCUCAAGACCGCUGAGAAAGAAACCACCUUCCCUUUUGCAGGUGAGAACACUGGGACCAGGAGAUCAAAUGACGAACGAAAGUCACACUGAAUGGGGUCAAAUACACCUGGGACGGACCAGGCUGGCCGCCUCCGAGGCCCGAAGCUGGGCGGUCUCACGAGGUCCCCGCAGCCCGCCUGUCCCCGAGGGCUCCGAGGGGGUCGCGCUGAGACGCCCUUGGGUGAGAGGUCCCAGGUUCCCCACCGCAGAGACCCAGAGACUCCGAGUCAAGACCCAACGUCAAGGCCGACCCAGAGCAGGCGGUGCAGGCGACAGGGCAAGAGAAAGCCUGAUUCCAUUAUAGUUUAAUAUAGCUGUGUUGGGACAAUCCUGAAAUGAUUAGAUGUAAAUGGAAAUAUUCUAACAGUUUAGGUAUGUGCUGGCAUUUUUGCUUGUUUGAUUCCUUUCUACUCUUCUUUGCCAAUGGUAUAACUGGUAUGAUCCCUUUUGUUCCCCAUGUGAUUGCUUGGUAUGAUUGUUUUCUUUUUGUUGAGUUGACCAUGUGAUGGAAUUCUCUUUCUCUUUUGAACUUUGGCUGUUCUUGUGAUCUGUAACAUAAAUGGAUUCUAGAGAAGGAUGGAAAUUUGGAGUUCACUUAGUCUGAAACCUCACCCCUAAGCAAGAAUUUCCUCUCCAAAAUAUAAAAUGUUCUUUGGGUUCUGUUGACUAUUUCCAGCAUGGUGGUUCCCAUUUCUUCAGGGGGCAGCCAGUUUCAUAUUUAUAUAUUCUUUCUUUUAUGAGUCCAAGUCAUCUCACCAUUACCUUCUCCUCUCCCGACUUCAUUGUUCCCAGUUUGGUGCUCUAAUACUUGCAGAUUAUAUUUAUUUCAUCUCAUAUGACUGCUAUUAUAGAUAUUUGAAAUUAACUCCAAGUAGCCUCCUUUUCAGUUUGGAUAUCAGUAAUUCUUUCAACCAUUCUUUGGUAGGAGAAUGAAAUUUGCCUCCCCCAAACAUCUCCUUGGCAUACGGAUUAUUUCAAGCUGUAAACAGUCAAGGCCCAAAAAGACUCAGGAAGAAACUUUGACCUUCCUCCUAACUGCCUAAAAGAAUUUAGAUGGAGGGUUUAUUCCUGGAAAAUCUCCUGAGACACUUUCUAAGAAUAUGGGCUAGCUGGGGUGGGAGAAACUGCAGGGCCUAGAGAUCAGGGUUCACUCUGUGUCACUUUGUCUCUUCAUGGCCCAGCAAACAUUUGGUUAUCAAACAUUUGCUUUUUCAUUUUCAUGUUAUUACCUUCCUCCUCUUUGAUAUCUCAAACCAUUACCCCCAACGUUCUUUUUUGUCCUUAGCUGAAGAUGGUAUUGAAGCUGAGAGUUUCAUUCAUUAUGGCAAGUUACUCAGUUUUCCUGAGUCUUUCUCAUGUGUACCUUUUAUUUAACUUCUGUUUGAUUUUCUCUUGUUAAUCUGUCUCUUGUCAAUUUAAUUCUUAGUCCAGUCCAGAAGAACCGGAAGGUUAGAGAAACGUUUCUUCCUCACUGACAUUUCUUACCUUUAUAGUUUUCAA